CCCUUAGAUGUUCUGGGCCGCACGCGCGCUACACUGAUGCAUUCAACAAGCCUAGCCUUGACCGAGAGGUCCGGGUAAUCUUUGAAACUGCAUCGUGAUGGGGCUAGAUUAUUGCAAUUAUUAAUCUUCAACGAGGAAUGCCUAGUAAGCGUGAUUCAUCAAAUCGCGUUGAUUACGUCCCGCCCUUUGUACACACCGCCCGUCGCUCCUACCGAUUGAAUGUGUUGGUGAGGAGCUCGGAUUGGCAGCAGUUGGUGGUUCGCCACCGGCUAUUGCUGAGAAGUCCUCCAAACCGCCCCAUUUAGAGGAAGGAGAAGUCGUAACA
rnacentral:rRNA from 1 species